rnacentral:rRNA from 1 species
UACAGAGGAUGCAAGCGUUAUCCGGAAUGAUUGGGCGUAAAGCGUCUGUAGGUGGCUUUUUAAGUCCGCCGUCAAAUCCCAGGGCUCAACUCUGGACAGGCGGUGGAAACUACCAAGCUGGAGUACGGUAGGGGCAGAGGGAAUUUCCGGUGGAGCGGUGAAAUGCGUAGAGAUCGGAAAGAACUCCGGUGGCGAAAGCGGCCUGCUGGAUCUCUACUGACGCUGAGGCGCGAAAGCCAGGGGAGCAAACGGG